rnacentral:rRNA from 1 species
UAGGGAAUCUUCGGCAAUGGGGGGAACCCUGACCGAGCAACGCCGCGUGAGUGAAGAAGGUUUUCGGAUCGUAAAGCUCUGUUGUUAAGGAAGAACGAGUGUGAGAAUGGAAAGUUCAUGCUGUGACGGUACUUAACCAGAAAGGGACGGCUAACUACGUGCCAGCAGCCGCGGUAAUACGUAGGUCCCGAGCGUUGUCCGGAUUUAUUGGGCGUAAAGCGAGCGCAGGAGGUUAGAAAAGUCUGAAGUGAAAGGCAGUGGCUCAACCAUUGUAGGCUUUGGAAACUGUUUAACUUUAGUGCAGAAGGGGAGAGUGGAAUUCCAUGUGUAGCGGUGAAAUGAGUAGAUAUAUGGAGGAACACCGGUGGCGAAAGCGGCUCUCUGGUCUGUAACUGACGCUGAGGCUCGAAAGCGUGGGGAGCGAACAGG